CGCAGAACCUGCAAAGUCCCACAAAUGCCUGCGUCGCCUAGCUACUCCGUCUCCGCCGCCGUCGCCGCUUCUGUAUGCUAGGUCUUGCGACUGUUCAACACUGUGCGCAACAGCGCUCUCUAUCCGCGUCCAUGGCCGAGGUGGCUGCUGUCUAUCCGCGUCCAUGCCGGUGCCGGCCCCGAGGUCCAUACUGCCCCUCUCCAAAACGCGGAUGCCGACGGCCAAAUGCCACAACAGGUGUUGUAAAUCCUUGCAUACACAAGCACUAUUCGACAACAAGAAGGCCUGGAGCAUACUUAUUAUUUAUGCCAUAUUUUGUACUUGUUCCUUGUGAGUAAUUUAUGUAUUUGUGGCUUUUUGAUGUAAUAAUACAGCCAUUUUGUAUGUAUUCCUGCAAAGAUUAUAUUUUAGUAGUAAUUUGUUUUUGUAUGAUUUGAUGAUAUUUA